UACGUAGGGUGCGAGCGUUGUCCGGAAUUACUGGGCGUAAAGAGCUCGUAGGUGGUUUGUCGCGUUGUUCGUGAAAUCCCACGGCUUAACUGUGGGCGUGCGGGCGAUACGGGCAGACUGGAGUACUGCAGGGGAGACUGGAAUUCCUGGUGUAGCGGUGGAAUGCGCAGAUAUCAGGAAGAACACCCGUGGCGAAGGCGGCUCUCUGGGCCGACAUUGACGCUGAGGAGCGAAAGCGUGGGGAGCGAACAGG
rnacentral:rRNA from 1 species